GGCCAUUCUUGCAUGAUGCACUCUGAAAUCGGGCUCCCUCCUGUCUAGUUCUGGGUGCGUCAUCCGAAAACCGCA
rfam:Myotis davidii contig146922, whole genome shotgun sequence.